UACGUAGGGUGCGAGCGUUGUCCGGAAUUAUUGGGCGUAAAGAGCUCGUAGGCGGUUUGUUGCGUCGGCCGUGAAAACCUGCAGCUUAACUGUGGGCCUGCGGCCGAUACGGGCAGACUUGAGUUCGGUAGGGGAGACUGGAAUUCCUGGUGUAGCGGUGAAAUGCGCAGAUAUCAGGAGGAACACCGGUGGCGAAGGCGGGUCUCUGGACGGUGACUGACGCUGAGACGCGAAAGCGUGGGGAGCAAACAGG
rnacentral:rRNA from 1 species